AUAAGAAUAAAUUCUUAUUACUUAGUUGAUUGCUAAUUUAACUGUUCAUUUAGCUAACAUAGCAUUAUGAAAACGAUUCAUAAUGUACGAACUCCUGGGUAUGUCCUAUUAGUCAGCAACCCUCCUCCCUCACCCCUCUUCUCGUUUGCGCUUUGACAAUUGUCAGUUGUCGGCACUGAGCGUACUGAGCCCAAUGCUGAAUGUCGUACAGUGGUUGCUGUCGACAACCUGUCAGUUGUCGCAGAGUCGUGCCGUCGUUCUGAGCCAUCGGUCGUGCAUCGUUUAUCUUCUCCAAGAGUACGUUCCAUAUCAGUCCCGUUUAUCGGGCACGGCUCCGCCUCGCGAUCGCUCGUUUUCCCGAGCUGCUCGCGCAGCGCGACGCGCCUUCCACCAGUUACAUUACUGUUUACGUCACCGCUGGCGAUCGGUGAGCAUCGUGGCAGAAAUCCAAGCAACCACCACGUCCACCCACGUCCACCACCAUCACCACUGACGUUGCCGCCGUCACCACCGCCACCACCACCACCACCACCACCAUCUCCGUUCCGGAAGUCCGUAUCGCUCGUUCUCAGCGUACUCUUCCGCGAUCGGUUUGAGUCGUGUAUACGUCACGUCGGCAGCGGACCACCUUGGAUCGUCUUGGUCGACCGAGCGUUGCCUUCCACCGGCUCUCGGCUCUCCCGUUAGUCCGCGCUCGCCCUCGCGUCCGUCGCGCUCUGUCAAGCGCACCCGUUCAUCCUUGACCGACGGAUACGAGCAAAGAUUGUCAACAUGUUUAGCUGGCUGAGUCGUGAGGAGAAUAGCAAGCAAGAUCUCUUCGAAAAUGUUACCGAAGGCCUUAAGAGGAUAUACAAAUCAAAGUUAUUACCAUUGGAACAGUAUUACCAGUUCCAUGACUUUCAUUCGCCACAACUGGAUGAUCCUGACUUUGAUGCAAAACCUAUGAUUCUCCUAGUUGGACAAUAUUCCACUGGCAAAACCACAUUUAUCAAAUAUCUGUUAGAAAGAGAAUUUCCUGGUAUCAGAAUCGGACCAGAGCCUACUACGGAUCGAUUUAUUGCUGUCAUGUACGAUGAAAAGGAAGGAGUCAUUCCUGGAAAUGCUUUGGUCGUAGAUCCAAAUAAACAGUUCAGGCCACUUUCAAAGUUCGGCAAUGCAUUCUUGAACAGAUUUCAGUGUUCGACUGUAGCGUCGCCUGUUUUGAAAGGCAUAUCUAUAGUAGAUACACCUGGUAUAUUAUCUGGUGAAAAACAAAGAGUUGACAGAGGCUAUGACUUUACUGGUGUUUUAGAAUGGUUCGCUGAACGCGUAGAUAGGAUUAUCUUAUUGUUUGAUGCUCAUAAACUCGAUAUCUCAGAUGAAUUCCGCAGAUCUAUCGAGGCCUUACGUGGACAUGAUGAUAAAAUUAGAAUUGUUCUUAAUAAAGCUGACAUGAUAGAUCAUCAACAGCUCAUGAGAGUGUAUGGUGCUCUAAUGUGGUCGUUAGGAAAGGUAUUACAAACUCCAGAAGUAGCUAGAGUAUAUAUUGGCUCGUUUUGGGAUCAGCCCUUAAGAUAUGAUGUUAAUAGAAGACUAUUUGAAGAUGAAGAACAAGAUUUAUUCAGAGAUAUGCAAUCGCUUCCAAGAAAUGCUGCAUUAAGAAAACUUAAUGAUUUAAUUAAACGAGCUCGCUUAGCAAAGGUACACGCGUACAUAAUAAGCGCCUUGCGGAAAGAUAUGCCCAGUAUGUUUGGUAAGGAUACUAAAAAAAAAGAACUGAUAAAAAAUUUGGGCCAGACUUAUGAUCAAAUUCAAAGGGAGCAAAAGAUUUCACCUGGUGAUUUUCCGGAUCUAAAGAAGAUGCAAGAGAGUUUAGCACAUCACGAUUUUAAUAAAUUUAAUCCCCUGAAGCCUAAGUUAUUAGAAGUAGUGGAUAAAAUGCUUGCUGAAGAUAUCGCGAAGCUUAUGGCUAUGAUACCACAUGAAGAAGUUACUACCGUUUCAGAAACACUUACAGGAGGAGCAUUUGAAGGUGUAAAAGAUCAAGUUAGUCCAUUUGGAUAUAAAAGAGGAGAAGGAAUUGAUGCGGGUGCAGGUGAACCAGAAUGGAUUGUCAAUAAAGAAAGAUAUAAAUAUGAUAGCAUCUUUGAAUCACUUGGACCACAAGAUGGAAAAAUUACGGGAGCAGCGGCCAAAUCAGAAAUGGUCAAGUCCAAAUUGCCAAACAGUGUGCUUGGAAAGAUUUGGAAACUUUCAGACAUUAAUAAAGAUGGAUUCUUAGACUCUGACGAAUUUGCCUUAGCUAUGCAUCUAAUUAAUAUAAAGCUCGAAGGAUACGAUUUACCGGCUGAACUACCAGAACAUUUAAUACCGCCGUCGAAACGUGACACAUAAUAUACAUUUUUUGUAUUAUAAUACAAAUUAUAAUUUAUCCAUGGUUCUCAAUUGAUUAACAUACAUUUGGAACCACGAGACGGUGGAUAUUAACACGACUUAUUAGUCGUGUGCUACUGCCAGCAAUUUACAGAAAACAUGGAAUAUAUCAGGAUAAACGGCAAGCGCCAGUUGUCGCGAUCAAGCGAUAUAUUAAUUACGGAUAAGUACAUUAUUAAAAUUUGUUAACGACUUCUAUUCCCUUGUUGCAACAAUUCAGCAAAUUAAAUUAUUAUGCCAGAUGCAAGAAA